GCCCGUCCGGCCUAACUGGCAGACGCGCCGGAUUCAAAAUCCGGUAUCCGCGAGGGUGUGGGGGUUCGAUUCCCCCGGCGAGCA
rnacentral:tRNA from 1 species